GUGCUUGUUUCAACAGCACACAUACUAAAACUGGAAUGAUUCAGAGAUUAGCAUGGCCCCUGAGCAAGGAGGACAUGCAAAUUCAUGAAGGAAAAAAAUAUAAA
ensembl:snRNA U6 U6 spliceosomal RNA